rnacentral:rRNA from 1 species
UACGUAGGGUGCGAGCGUUGUCCGGAUUUACUGGGCGUAAAGGGCGCGUAGGCGGCCACCGCAAGUCGAUUGUGAAAUCUCCGGGCUUAACCCGGAAAGGUCAGUCGAUACUGCGGGGCUAGAGUGCAGAAGGGGCAACUGGAAUUCUCGGUGUAGCGGUGAAAUGCGUAGAUAUCGAGAGGAACACCUGCGGCGAAGGCGGGUUGCUGGGCUGACACUGACGCUGACAGCGCGAAAGCUAGGGGAGCGAACGGG